rnacentral:rRNA from 1 species
CCUACGGGAGGCAGCAGUGGGGAAUAUUGGACAAUGGGGGGAACCCUGAUCCAGCCAUGCCGCGUGUGUGAAGAAGGCCUUAUGGUUGUAAAGCACUUUAAGCGAGGAGGAGGCUCUUCUAGUUAAUACCUAGGAUGAGUGGACGUUACUCGCAGAAUAAGCACCGGCUAACUCUGUGCCAGCAGCCGCGGUAAUACAGAGGGUGCGAGCGUUAAUCGGAUUUACUGGGCGUAAAGCGUGCGUAGGCGGCUUUUUAAGUCGGAUGUGAAAUCCCCGAGCUUAACUUGGGAAUUGCAUUCGAUACUGGGAAGCUAGAGUAUGGGAGAGGAUGGUAGAAUUCCAGGUGUAGCGGUGAAAUGCGUAGAGAUCUGGAGGAAUACCGGAUGGCGAAGGCAGCCGAUCUGGCCUAAUACUGACGCUGAGGUACGAAAGCAUGGGGANCAAACAGGAUUAGAUACCCUGGUAGUCCGAUGCCGUAAACGAUGUCUACUAGCCGUUGGGGCCUUUGAGGCUUUAGUGGCGCAGCUAACGCGAUAGUAGAACCGCCUGGGGAAGUUCGGUGCGAAGCUUAAACGNGAAGAGUUGACGNNGAGAGNGCGAGCGACGACGAGGAGGAGG